UUAUACCAGCUGAGGAUUGAAAAUAUGUUCUACUUUCCAAGCCUGAAAGGCACAAGUGCUGCUGUUUAGUCUGCUGCUAAAACAGUUUGCAUGACAGAGAUUGUAAUUGUCUCAGCUGUAAACACACACAGAGCAAAAAUCCACAGCCUUAUCUUCAAGAGAUGGAGAAAAUUAUUGGUAUGGGAAAGUUACACAUUGUUUUUGCAAAUUCUGAACUUUCAUUUCAACCAAACUAUUUUUUCCCAUUGCCAGGAUACAGCCAUCACAGCCAAUUUCUCAGCAUUGACAGUAGGAAGAUGCAUAUUAGAAGUGAUAUAGCACUGAGUUCAAGCAGCAUAACCAACAAUGCGAGCAGCAGAUUUAUAUACGAAUAGUUCAACUUUAAUGGGACUACUCAUAUGAUUGUUUACCAUGGUGAAUAAAGAUUCUACAGUCAAGUCCCGACUCCCAU